UACAGAGGUCUCAAGCGUUGUUCGGAUUCAUUGGGCGUAAAGGGUGCGUAGGUGGCAUGGUAAGUCGGAUGUGAAAUCCCGGGGCUCAACCCCGGAACUGCAUUCGAUACCGCUGCGCUAGAGUACUGGAGAGGAGAUUGGAAUUUACGGUGUAGCAGUGAAAUGCGUAGAUAUCGUAAGGAAGACCAGUGGCGAAGGCGGAUCUCUGGACAGUUCCUGACACUGAGGCACGAAGGCCAGGGGAGCAAACGGG
rnacentral:rRNA from 1 species